ensembl:lncRNA
CCUAUAACCUGCAGGCUGUUAUUUAGUUGCUAAGUCCUGUCCAACUCUGCGACCCCAUGGACUGUAGCCCACCAGGCUCCCCUGGCUACAGGAUUUCCCAGACAAGAAUACUGGAGUAGGUUGCCAUUUCCUUCUCCAGGGGGUCUUCCUGAACCAGGAAUCAAACCUACAUCUCCUGCACUGGCAGGCAGAUUCUUUACUGUCAGUUGCCAAGGAAGCCCAACCUGCAGUGUAGUACUGCCGUGCAGCUGAGUAUUCAUAAUUCUUAAGGGCCUCUGUAGAGGAGAAGGAACCAGCAUUCUCUAGGCACACUGAAGCCGCCUCUCCACCUAUAAGUAAAAAGAAGAGACGAUCCCAAGCACAGAGAGGGCCUGAGUCCGUGGCAGCCUCCCUUGGCACCUCAGACCUCCAAACACUGAGAAAACUCAUCCGGAGUCAGAUCCAGACGUUUCUUCAUCUCAGCUGCCAGGAAGUACGUAUUUUGGCACAUGGGGACCAAGGAAGGAAGGAAUGGAGGAGAACUUACCCCAGAGGCUAGUAAAAUAUCAGCACAGGUUGUUUGCUCAUCUGUGGGAAAACAAUAGAAAAGAAAAAAAAAAAAAAAAAAAACCCUCUCCUGAAAAAAACACACAAAUCUAUAAACUAUCACUUUCCUAGAGCCACUCAGGACAAUGAAGAAAGAUCCUAUAGCCAGGUAACUGGAUCAGAAAACAAGUGAAGCCAGACUUCCAAGGCAGCUUCCAAGGAAGCCAGACUUCCAAGACAAACGGUGGGAGGGGGCUGUCAGCUUCCUUUUGCUUCUCACAUUUAAAAAGUACAGGCUGGGGUCGAGAUUAUCACAGCCAACCCGAGAGCAGAAAGGGAAAGAGUUACACAACCAGCCACUAGAGAAACACAGAUGAAGACCACAAUGAGCUACCACUGCACACCUAUUAGAACAACUGAUAUUAAAAAGAAGACACCCCCUAACUAUUCUCCCAUCCUGCCCUGCCACUCCCUCCCUUGGCAAUCAUAAGUUCAUUCUCAAAGCCUGAGAGUCUCUUUCUGUUUUGUAAGUUCAUUUGUAUCAUUUCUUUUUAGAUUCCACAUAUAAGGGCUGUCAUAAAAUACUGCUCUUUCUCUGUCUGAUUUACUUCAUUCAGUAGGGAGUUCGGGAUGGACAAGUACACACUGCUAUAUUUAAAAUAGAUAAUCAACAAGGACUUACUGUAUAGUACACGGAACUCUGCUCAAUAUUACAUGGCAGCCUGGAUGGGAGGGGACUUGGAGAGAGAAUGCAUACAUGUGUAUGUAUGACUGAGUCCCUUUGCUGUUCACCUGAAACUGUCACAUUGUUAAUUGGCUAUAC